rnacentral:rRNA from 1 species
GACGAACGCUGGCGGCGUGCCUAAUACAUGCAAGUAGAACGCUGAAGGAGGAGCUUGCUUCUCUGGAUGAGUUGCGAACGGGUGAGUAACGCGUAGGUAACCUGCCUGGUAGCGGGGGAUAACUAUUGGAAACGAUAGCUAAUACCGCAUAAGAGUAGAUGUUGCAUGACAUUUGCUUAAAAGGUGCAAUUGCAUCACUACCAGAUGGACCUGCGUUGUAUUAGCUAGUUGGUGGGGUAACGGCUCACCAAGGCGACGAUACAUAGCCGACCUGAGAGGGUGAUCGGCCACACUGGGACUGAGACACGGCCCAGACUCCUACGGGAGGCAGCAGUAGGGAAUCUUGGGCAAUGGACGGAAGUCUGACCGAGCAACGCCGCGUGAGUGAAGAAGGUUUUCGGAUCGUAAAGCUCUGUUGUAAGAGAAGAACGAGUGUGAGAGUGGAAAGUUCACACUGUGACGGUAUCUUACCAGAAAGGGACGGCUAACUACGUG